rnacentral:rRNA from 1 species
GAUGAACGCUGACAGCAUGCUUAACACAUGCAAGUCAACUUGAAUUUGGGUUUUUACCUUAGGUUUGGGUGGCGGACGGGUGAGUAACGCGUAAAGAACUUGCCUCACAGCUAGGGACAACAUUUGGAAACGAAUGCUAAUACCUAAUAUUAUGAUAAUAGGGCAUCCUAUAAUUAUGAAAGCUAUAAGCGCUGUGAGAGAGCUUUGCGUCCCAUUAGCUAGUUGGAGAGGUAACGGCUCACCAAGGCGAUGAUGGGUAGCCGGCCUGAGAGGGUGAUCGGCCACAAGGGGACUGAGACACGGCCAGUACUCCUACGGGAGGCAGCAGUGGGGAAUAUUGGACAAUGGACCGAGAGUCUGAUCCAGCAAUUCUGUGUGCACGAUGAAGUUUUUCGGAAUGUAAAGUGCUUUCAGUUGGGAAGAAACAAAUGACGGUACCAACAGAAGAAGUGACGGCUAAAUACGUG